rnacentral:rRNA from 1 species
GAUGAACGCUGGCGGCGUGCCUAAUACAUGCCAGUCGAGCGAAGCGGGGACGGGUGAGUAACACGUGGAUAACCUCCUAUAAGACUGGGAUAACUUCGGGAAACCGGAGCUAUACAGGAUACUUAUAUAUGGAUCCGCGCUGCAUUAGCUAGUUGGUAAGGUAAUGGCUUACCAAGGCAACGAUGCAUAGCCGACCUGCGAGAGUGAUCGGCCACACUGUAACUGAGACACGGGCAAGACUCCUACGGGAGGCAGCAGUAGGGAAUCUUCCGCAAUGGGCGAAAGCCUGACGGAGCAACGCCGCGUGAGGGAUGAAGGUCUGCGGAUCGUAAAACUCUGGUAUUAGGGAAGCGGGACCUAAUCAGAAAGCCACGGCUAACUACGUGCCAGCAGCGGCGGUAAUAC